AAAAAUCAUUAACAACUAAAAGGCUCAGGUAACCAAUAGCCAAAAGUUACAAACUUUCAACAACAAUCAAAUGACAAAAACCAACAACAACAUACUCUGGAUAAAUUAAAAGACAACAAAUUUAAUUGUGAUUGAAAACACCAAACAUUAUAUGCAUACUAGGCUUAAUCUCAGUACAAGGAACACAUAAAAUAAAAUUCUGGAUGUCCAUUGUUUUCCUCAAUUUCCUCGAGAAGAAAACAAAGUUGGGUCAUCGUAUCAAAAGGAGCUGAACUAAACCCAAUGAGCAGAUGUACCUAUCUCAAAAUAAAUCUCAUCA
rnacentral:misc_RNA from 1 species